AUGAACGCUGGCGGCGUUGCUUUAAACACAUGCAAGUCGAACGAAGCACUUUUAUUAUUGAUUUCUUCGGAAUGACGAUUUAGUGACUGAGUGGCGGACGGGUGAGUAACGCGUGGGUAACCUGCCUUAUACAGGGGGAUAACAGUUAGAAAUGACUGCUAAUACCGCAUAAGCGCACAGGAUUGCAUGAUCUAGUGUGAAAAACUCCGGUGGUAUAAGAUGGACCCGCGUCUGAUUAGCUGGUUGGUGAGGUAACGGCCCACCAAGGCGACGAUCAGUAGCCGACCUGAGAGGGUGACCGGCCACAUUGGGACUGAGACACGGCCCAGACUCCUACGGGAGGCAGCAGUGGGGAAUAUUGCACAAUGGAGGAAACUCUGAUGCAGCGACGCCGCGUGAGUGAAGAAGUAUUUCGGUAUGUAAAGCUCUAUCAGCAGGGAAGAUAAUGACGGUACCUGACUAAGAAGCACCGGCUAAAUACGUG
rnacentral:rRNA from 1 species